GACGAACGCUGGCGGCGCGCUUAACACAUGCAAGUCGAACGGAAAGGCCCUGCUUUUGUGGGGUGCUCGAGUGGCGAACGGGUGAGUAACACGUGAGUAACCUGCCCUUGACUUUGGGAUAACUUCAGGAAACUGGGGCUAAUACCGGAUAGGAGCUCCUGCUGCAUGGUGGGGGUUGGAAAGUUUCGGCGGUUGGGGAUGGACUCGCGGCUUAUCAGCUUGUUGGUGGGGUAGUGGCUUACCAAGUCUUUGACGGGUAGCCGGCCUGAGAGGGUGACCGGCCACAAUGGGACUGAGAUACGGCCCAGACUCCUACGGGAGGCAGCGGUGGGGAGUAUUGCACAGUGGGCGGAAGCCUGAUGCAGCAACGCCGCGUGCGGGAUGACGGCCUUCGGGUUGUAAACCGCUUUCGCCUGUGACGAAGCGUGAGUGACGGUAAUGGGUAAAGAAGCACCGGCUAACUACGUG
rnacentral:rRNA from 1 species